rnacentral:rRNA from 1 species
GACUCCACGAAGUUGGAUUCGCUAGUAAUCGCGCAUCAGCCAUGGCGCGGUGAAUACGUUCCCGGGCCUUGUACACACCGCCCGUCAAGCCAUGGGAGCCGGGGGCGCCUGAAGUCCGGGACCGCGAGGACCGGCCUAAGGCGAAACUGGUGACUGGGGCUAAGUCGUAACAAGGUAUC